rnacentral:rRNA from 1 species
AUUGAACGCUGGCGGCAGGCUUAACACAUGCAAGUCGAGCGGGGACUUCGGUCCUAGCGGCGAACGGGUGAGGAAUGCUUGGGAAUCUGCCCAGUAGUGGGGGAUAACGUUUCGAAAGGAACGCUAAUACCGCAUACGUCCUACGGGAGAAAGGGGGGGAUCUUCGGACCUCUCGCUAUUGGAUGAGCCCAAGUCGGAUUAGCUAGUUGGUGAGGUAAAGGCUCACCAAGGCGACGAUCCGUAGCUGGUCUGAGAGGAUGAUCAGCCACACUGGAACUGAGACACGGUCCAGACUCCUACGGGAGGCAGCAGUGGGGAAUAUUGGACAAUGGGCGAAAGCCUGAUUCAGCCAUGCCGCGUGUGUGAAGAAGGCCUUCGGGUUGUAAAGUACUUUCAGUAGGGAGGAAGGGUGUUGUGUUAAUAGCGCAGCAUUUUGACGUUACCUACAGAAGAAGCACCGGCUAACUCUGUGCCAGCCGCCGCUGUAAAAC